rnacentral:lncRNA from 1 species
UUAUCUCAGACCAUAGUUAAAUAGCUGGGAUUUUUUGUUUCUUGGCAUCAGAGUUUUCUUUAUUUACCACAUGCACAUUAUGAUCCACAGAUUUGAUUCUCAAGCACCUGACUAUGGCCAACUCCUUGGUACUCUCUAAAAAAAGUCCUUUAGAUGAUGACUGAUUUGGAGUUGAAAUAUUUUCUCAGUAAUAUUAAAUAGAAAGUGUUUUCUAUGUUCAGAGAGUGGCCAGAGCAUGUGCAUUGACACCAUCUGCCUCUUGAGUAUCUCCCAGGCCAUCACCAUCAGCCCCAAAAACCUCAUGUGGGCAUAGCUUAAACUACAUGAUUCCAAAUAUAUUUGAAUCUCUAAUAUCCAAAUUAUGUGCUGAAUUCUGAAUAGGCUUAUAAAUGUCAUUUUUCCUAUGUAUGUUACUGGCAAAUGGAACACAAUAAACAACACAAAAAUUAUUUAAAACACUGUUCUGGAGUAGUUAAUAACAGAAUUCCACAUUUAUCACAUGUUGUGCUUUUAUUAUUUUUUAAUGUUUUGUGUUUGGAACUUUUAACCUGGGCCAGCAGCUCCAUGACUUUUAUCCUGUUCAACACAAGUAGUGGGGUCCAACACAUUCAUAGGUCCAACACCACUCCUAAAUUCUCACCUGAGUCCACAGUCACCCAAAACAUCUUUGUCCUAAGGAGCACCUUUGUAUUAUUUUACACUCUCUUCUACAUCUUUUCAGUAUAU